CCUACGGGAGGCAGCAGUGAGGAAUAUUGGUCAAUGGACGAGAGUCUGAACCAGCCAAGUAGCGUGAAGGAUGACUGCCCUAUGGGUUGUAAACUUCUUUUAUAUGGGAAUAAAAUGUUCCACGUGUGGGAUUUUGUAUGUACCAUAUGAACAAGGAUCGGCUAACUCCGUGCCAGCAGCCGCGGUAAUACGGAGGAUCCGAGCGUUAUCCGGAUUUAUUGGGUUUAAAGGGAGCGUAGGUGGAUUGUUAAGUCAGUUGUGAAAGUUUGCGGCUCAACCGUAAAAUUGCAGUUGAAACUGGCAGUCUUGAGUACAGUAGAGGUGGGCGGAAUUCGUGGUGUAGCGGUGAAAUGCUUAGAUAUCACGAAGAACUCCGAUUGCGAAGGCAGUUCACUGGACUGCAACUGACACUGAGGCUCGAAAGUGUGGGUAUCAAACAGGAUUAGAUACCCCUGUAGUC
rnacentral:rRNA from 1 species